rnacentral:rRNA from 1 species
AUUGAACGCUGGCGGCAUGCCUUACACAUGCAAGUCGAACGGCAGCACGGGUGCUUGCACCUGGUGGCGAGUGGCGAACGGGUGAGUAAUAUAUCGGAACGUACCUUAUUGUGGGGGAUAACGCAGCGAAAGCUGUGCUAAUACCGCAUAAUCCCUUAGGGGGAAAGCGGGGGACCGUAAGGCCUCGCGCAAUUAGAGCGGCCGAUACCUGAUUAGCUAGUUGGUGAGGUAGAGGCUCACCAAGGCGACGAUCAGUAGCUGGACUGAGAGGACGAUCAGCCACACUGGGACUGAGACACGGGCCAGACUCCGACGGGAGGCAGCAGUGGGGAAUUUUGGACAAUGGGGGCAACCCUGAUCCAGCAAUGCCGCGUGAGUGAAGAAGGCCUUCGGGUUGUAAAGCUCUUUUGUCAGGGAAGAAACAGCAGCUCUAACACAGUAUGCGAAUGACGGUACCUGAAGAAUAAGCACCGGCUAACUACGUGCCAGCCGCCGCCGUAA